rnacentral:misc_RNA from 1 species
GAUGAAGAACGUAGUGUAAUGCGAUAAUUAAUGUGAAUUGCAGAAUUCAGUGAAUCAUCGAGUCUUUGAACGCACAUUGCGCCCCCUGGUAUUCCGGGGGGCAUGCCUGUCCGAGCGUCAUUGCUGCCCUCAAGCACGGCUUGUGUGUUGGGCUUCCGUCCCUGGCAACGGGGACGGGCCCAAAAGGCAGUGGCGGCACCAUGUCUGGUCCUCGAGCGUAUGGGGCUUUGUCACCCGCUCCCGUAGGUCCAGCUGGCAGCUAGCCUCGCAACCAAUCUUUUUAACCAGGUUGACCUCGGAUCAGGUAGGGAUACCCGCUGAACUUAAGCAUAUCAAUAAGCGGAGGA